GGGGUUGUGGCUCAAUGGUAGAGCACUUGCCUAGCAUGCAGGAGGCCCUGGGUUCAAUCCUCAGCACCA
rnacentral:tRNA from 1 species